rnacentral:lncRNA from 1 species
CAUGGAAUUGAGGUUGUUUUUUUUUUUUUAAUUGUGACGUGGAACUGGUGACUUAUAUGUAUAAGAUUUUAGUUUAGUUCAUUGAUAUUUAAAAAUUUGGAUUCUUUUCAGAAAGGCAAGAUAUACUAUAACAAUGAGAAGUGCUUUUAGGUAAGACUUUCUGGGUUUGAAUCUCAUCUCAGAAGGUCCAGUGUAAGAAGGUGGCGGAAGGCAGGGCAGGACAUCCAUUACUGAGGAAGAAGUGCUCAUCCACAGCAGACACUGGUAAGCCACGGAUACAAAUUUUCCUCUGCUGCCACGCCACCGAGGGAAAUUUCUGAGGCUGCCACCAACUCUAGAACUGGCUUGUCCAG